rnacentral:rRNA from 1 species
GAUGAACGCUAGCGGCAGGCCUAACACAUGCAAGUCGAGGGGCAGCACGGUGUAGCAAUACACUGGUGGCGACCGGCGCACGGGUGCGUAACGCGUAUGCAACCUACCCAUAACAGGGGGAUAACACUGAGAAAUUGGUACUAAUACCCCAUAACAUCAGGACCGGCAUCGGUUCUGGUUGAAAACUCCGGUGGUUAUGGAUGGGCAUGCGUUGUAUUAGCUGGUUGGUGAGGUAACGGCUCACCAAGGCAACGAUACAUAGGGGGACUGAGAGGUUAACCCCCCACAUUGGUACUGAGACACGGACCAAACUCCUACGGGAGGCAGCAGUGAGGAAUAUUGGUCAAUGGACGAGAGUCUGAACCAGCCAAGUAGCGUGAAGGAUGAAGGUCCUACGGAUUGUAAACUUCUUUUAUAAGGGAAUAAACCCUCCCACGUGUGGGAGCUUGUAUGUACCUUAUGAAUAAGCAUCGGCUAACUCCGUG